rnacentral:lncRNA from 1 species
AACUCCUUAACACCCAUUUGAGGUUUUUUCAUAAGUAGUGGAAUAGCGUGAAAUGCAACCCAUCCACAACUUGGUGUUGUCGUCUUCCUCCUGCCACUAGAUGUGCAAGUAUGCACGUCAUGCAAGACAACAACCUGCAAAUUUUCGGUUCACGAUUUAUUAACCAACAAAACAUAAUUACAUAAUGAUUCCAAUCAAAAAAAGAAAUAACAUACCACAAUGGUCGGUAAUCCUUUCUUUUCCUCCCGUGCAUAGAUCCUCCAAGGGCAAUCACCACCUUUGCAAUAACCAACAUAUCUAGUAGUCGAAGUAACAUCGAUUCCAAGCUCAAACUCAUGCUUUAUGGCAUACUGCCUCAUAGCAAUUCGAAAUUUCUUCAUGUUCGCAAACAAAUUGCUUGGUUGCAUUGAAGGAUUUAUUUUAUCAUACUUAACUCUCUUCUCGUCAGGUAGGUAGUCUUCACAUGGUUGGUCUAUAUUGUGGUCUCCCGAAUCAAUAUGGUCCGAUUCAUCCAAAUUACUUGUACCACCUCGUAAGGCUUCAUCUCUUCUAUUUUCUUCAGCCUCGUCCUCUUCAAUAAGUCCAAGUUGAGAAUACAUCUGCAUCUCACUAGGAACAUCACGUCGCCCUUCCUCCUCUCAAGAGAAAAUUGGAAUUUUGCCAUUAUCAAACUAAGGAUUCGCUCGAAUGCCAUUAUGAGAACACGCUUCGUUAUUACGCCAUUCUAAAACACUGGCUUACAGAUAAAAUGUCAUUUAGGGGGUUAUUUGACAAAAUAUCAACUGAUUGGACUGUUUUACCCCUAAACUAAAACAACUACUCUCCUCUGCUCUCUGGACAUCCUGACGGCUCAACUUCGUUUUCUUUUCUGUCUCUCGCUCGUUUUCUUUUAUGUCUCCUCCUCUCUGCUCCUCCUCUCUGCCUCGCUCUCCCGAGCAGUUUCCCUCCUCCCACUAGCAUUUUCAGCCUGAUUUAGCUUGUUGUUUAAUAAGUUAACAUUAUCUUGGAAGUUGGAGAGCAGAAAUGAGUGGGCAAUAUGAAAAUAUUAGCUCAUUUUAUUUUUUAUACAGUCAAAUGCAAUAACUUCGUAUUAAGUAAAAAAUGAUUCAUAUCUGAAAAAGGAAAGUGUGUACCAUAAUUGAAUCCUGGCUCAGGCUGAAUUUCUCCUCCCACUCCCUCUAAGCAUUUUCUUGAGCCUCGAACUGUCCAAUUAGCUCAGCCUGCUUCUCGAGUACCCUCUCCAUCUCCCCAUCCUUCUGAUAUACCAUGGCAAGAUCAUCACGACCCUCCACUCUUCCAUUACUAGAAGAGCCAUGCCCAUCUUGGUUCACCUCGCCAUCAACAUUAGCCGUCUGAUCAGUGCAAACAGUACAAUCUGAUCUCUCAUGCCCGUCCUCCGUGCUCUCCACUGCAUUGUCGUUGCCCUCCUCUUCUUCUGUCUGAGAUCUGUCAAUCAGAAGAGCACGUGUGUGAGUGUGCCAGAUAAUUGCACAAUAACAUGCCAGCAAUUGGGAUGGAACUUGAGCAAUGAGCAACGCCCGGACCUCAGCUCCUUCCUCUUGAUCUUCCGGCAAGACUGCCCUGGGUGGUACUUGGGCGACGAAUCCGCGACGCGACAGUAAAAGUAACCCCUCCUGUGGUCGUGGCCGUGCCUCUGCCUUAGCUGCCUACCCUUGUGCUGUUGGUGCUGCGGCCGCCGCCUCUCGCAUUCCGGGCUCGCGGCGCGGCCCCUCCAUGACAAGCCCCCGGCCUGAGCAGCAGAGGCAGCAGCAGCCGCCGCCGCCGGGGCUCCCAGCUCUGACCUCGACAGCGCGUCCUCCGCUGCAUUCCCGC